rnacentral:rRNA from 1 species
GAUGAACGCUGGCGGCGUGCCUAAUACGUGCAAGUCGAGCGAACGGACGAGAAGCUUGCUUUUCUGAUGUUAGCGGCGGACGGGUGAGUAACACGUGGAUAACCUACCUAUAAGACUGGGAUAACUUCGGGAAACCGGAGCUAAUACCGGAUAAUAUUUUGAACCGCAUGGUUCAAAAGUGAAAGACGGUCUUGCUGUCACUUAUAGAUGGAUCCGCGCUGCAUUAGCUAGUUGGUAAGGUAACGGCUUACCAAGGCAACGAUGCAUAGCCGACCUGAGAGGGUGAUCGGCCACACUGGAACUGAGACACGGUCCAGACUCCUACGGGAGGCAGCAGCAGGGAAUCUUCCGCAAUGGGCGAAAGCCUGACGGAGCAACGCCGCGUGAGUGAUGAAGGUCUUCGGAUCGUAAAACUCUGUUAUUAGGGAAGAACAUAUGUGUAAGUAACUGUGCACAUCUUGACGGUACCUAAUCAGAAAGCCACGGCUAACUACGUG